AACGAACGCUGGCGGCAUGCCUAACACAUGCAAGUCGAACGAGACCUUCGGGUCUAGUGGCGCACGGGUGCGUAACGCGUGGGAACCUGCCCUUAGGUUCGGAAUAACUCCCCGAAAGGGGUGCUAAUACCGGAUAAUGUCUUCGGACCAAGGAUUUAUCGCCUUUGGAUGGGCCCGCGUUGGAUUAGCUAGUUGGUAGGGUAAAAGCCUACCAAGGCGACGAUCCAUAGCUGGUCUGAGAGGAUGAUCAGCCACACUGGGACUGAGACACGGCCCAGACGCCUACGGGAGGCAGCAGUGGGGAAUAUUGGACAGUGGGCGAAAGCCUGAUCCAGCAAUGCCGCGUGAGUGAUGAAGGCCUUAGGGUUGUAAAGCUCUUUUACCCGGGAUGAUAAUGACAGUACCGGGAGAAUAAGCUCGGGCUAACUCCGU
rnacentral:rRNA from 1 species